rnacentral:rRNA from 1 species
AACGCGAAGAACCUUACCUGGGUUUGACAUGCACAGGACGCCGGCAGAGAUGUCGGUUCCCUUGUGGCCUGUGUGCAGGUGGUGCAUGGCUGUCGUCAGCUCGUGUCGUGAGAUGUUGGGUUAAGUCCCGCAACGAGCGCAACCCUUGUCUCAUGUUGCCAGCGCGUUAUGGCGGGGACUCGUGAGAGACUGCCGGGGUCAACUCGGAGGAAGGUGGGGAUGACGUCAAGUCAUCAUGCCCCUAAUGUCCAGGGCUUCACACAUGCUACAAUGGCCGGUACAGAGGGCUGCGAUGCCGUGAGGUGGAGCGAAUCCUUGUUAAAGCCGGUCUCAGUUCGGAUCGGGGUCUGCAACUCGACCCCGUGAAGUCGGAGUCGCUAGUAAUCGCAGAUCAGCAACGCUGCGGUGAAUACGUUCCCGGGUCUUGUACACACCG